rnacentral:lncRNA from 1 species
CCUUGGAUUAGUUAUUCUAUAAUUUUUCUAAAUCAAAUUUAAGAAAGCUGACUAGAAAAUGUACACAAAAAGCAUACAAUUGUCAGUAAUUGCAUUUUUGAUACAUCUUAUUGUUAAAUCGUCGUUAAGGAAUUCAAAACGGAUUUCAGAUCAUCGAUAGUCUCCGUUAAAUUUAACCACAACUUUUCCUGGCUCGGUCUGAUAUAAAGCAUGAC